rnacentral:rRNA from 1 species
GGGGUCCCUUCGGGGGCAACCGUGGCGGACGGGUGAGGAACACGUGGGGAACCUGCCCAUUGGUGGGGGGUAGCCCGCGGAAACGCGGGGUAAUUCCGCAUACGCUGGCCGGGGGAUAGCCCGGGUCAGGAAAGGGUCUUCGGACUCGCCGAUGGAGGGGCCUGCGUCCGAUUAGCUUGUUGGUGGGGUAACGGCCUACCAAGGCGGUGAUCGGUAGCUGGUCUGAGAGGACGGCCAGCCACAGGGGGACUGAGACACGGCCCCCACUCCUACGGGAGGCAGCAGCAAGGAGUUUUCCGCAAUGGGCGAAAGCCUGACGGAGCAACGCCGCGUGGGGGAUGACACCUUUCGGGGCGUAAACCCCUUUUCUUGGGGACGAAGCAGUGACGGUACCCGAGGAAGAAGGCCCGGCUAACUACGUGCCAGCAGCCGCGGUAAUACGUAGGGGCCGAGCGUUGUCCGGAGUUACUGGGCGUAAAGCGCGCGCAGGCGGCUCGUCAAGCCUGACGUGAAAGCCCCCGGCUCAACCGGGGAGGGUCGUCGGGGACUGGCGAGCUUGAGGUCGGCAGGGGC